UGGCUAGUUAAAUAAGUCGUCGAUUAAUUCAAUUUAUUGAGGAUCUUGCGGUCAGAGAUGCUGAUAGAUACUCAGAUGAUUUGCUGGUCAUUUCUGCUGGA